rnacentral:rRNA from 1 species
UACGAAGGGGGCUAGCGUUGCUCGGAAUCACUGGGCGUAAAGGGCGCGUAGGCGGCGUUUUUAAGUCAGGGGUGAAAUCCUGGAGCUCAACUCCAGAACUGCCUUUGAUACUGAGGAUCUUGAGUUCGGGAGAGGAGAGUGGAAUUCCUGGUGUAGCGGUGGAAUGCGCAGAUAUCAGGAAGAACACCCGUGGCGAAGGCGGCUCUCUGGAACGCAACCUGGACGCUGAGACGCGAAAGCGUGGGGAGCAAACAGG